rnacentral:miRNA from 1 species
GACGUCGAAUAUCGACGUCAUAAACACCAAAGUUAAUCGUGUUUAUGACGCCGAAUAUCGACGUCAUAAACACCUAAGUUGAUCGUGUUUAUGACGGCGAAUAUCGACGUCAUAAACACCUAAGUUGAUUGUGUUUAUGAAGUCGAAUAUCGACGUCAUAAACACCAAAAUGGAUCGUGUUUAUAACGUCGAAUAUCGACGUC